UACGUAGGGUGCAAGCGUUAAUCGGAAUUACUGGGCGUAAAGCGUGCGCAGGCGGUUGUGCAAGACAGAUGUGAAAUCCCCGGGCUUAACCUGGGAACUGCAUUUGUGACUGUACGGCUAGAGUGCGGCAGAGGGGGAUGGAAUUCCGGCGUGUAGCAGUGAAAUGCGUAGAUAUGCGGAGGAACACCGAUGGCGAAGGCAAUCCCCUGGGCCUGCACUGACGCUCAUGCACGAAAGCGUGGGGAGCAAACAGG
rnacentral:rRNA from 1 species